rnacentral:sRNA from 1 species
UGUGUGUGUGUGUGUGUGUGUGUGUGUGUUUGUGUGUGUUUUGCAUAUACUUGGAUCCAGGAAGUCUGCAUUGCAGGAUUCAGUUAAUGUGCGCCUAAGUGGCUUGCUCACCCUGGAGAACACCCCUCGAACCCAGACUUGGUGGGGGGCACCAUGGGGCUGGUGGGGUGCUAAGAACUCGAAAGGGUUUUGCUAGAGUGGCUUCAUCCAGUGAAUGUUUCCCCAAAAUGUUUCAUAGUUUGUGUUGUGGACGUUUCUCAGCCCAAGUGCCCAUCUUCUUCAGUUCAGAACAUCCAGGCUCGGAGGAAUAUGUCCACGUACCAAAAGCCACACACACAGCUGGCACACUGGUGGGGAAAGGAUUGAAACCUAGGCCUAGAGAUGUAUGCUACCUUCUUGUCUCUAGAAUUUCUUUUUCUGAAUGACUUAUGUUUAAAAGAAAGGAAAAUGGAUGGACACACACACACACACACACACACACACACACACUUACACAUGCACACUCACUCUAAAGCCGAGUUAAGUUUUCUGAUCUUUUAGACCAGUGGGGCCCCAACCUCAAUGCUUUAAAUGUUACGAUUAAGUUAAAUUCUUAAAGGGUCCCAAGGCAUCCCAAAUCUGCUUUUGCUGUUCAAGGUUCAUUUUUUUCCCCACAGAAAGGUUACUCCACCAGCCGCUUCUCUGGCGCUGAUGACCAUAAGCCUCAGACCCUCGCUAAUAAAAUAGCUCCAAUCCCCAGGUCUCAUGCAGCCCCCACACAGCCGCCUUCCUUGGAAUGUCUCCUGAGGCCUUUUCUCAACCUCCGUAGUCAACGCUGGUGCCACAGAACCCUCCCUCCCCCGUAGUUUGUUUUUGCAGUCAUUGAUGCUGGAAGAUCUCAUGAUGUCAACCACGCUUGUGCAUAAGACCUGCUCAACGAGCUCUACUCAGGACAAGAGGAGGUCAGCCAGCCCCUGUGCUGUCUGACAGGAACCAUCUGAGCCACACACCAUCACUGCAACAACUGGGAGGGACCGCAAGCCCAUCUCGGAAACCCACACUGCCUUUGUCUUUUGCCUUCUCUUCGGAAGCCCUUGGCGCCGAGUACCAGCCAGCCCAGUUGCCCUACAAGCUGGGGCGUCCCAGAAAGUCCUGGAGCCUCACAGGGUGUGGAUCCACAGCCUCCGCAGCCGGCCUGUAGUGCCACAGGUGCCCUACUGGUCGGGCGAGUUUCUCAGAGGGUGCUGGCAAGGUGGCUCGAGCAAGUAAGCAAAACUACCCCAGACCAUCAGCCUCCAGGGAAUGGCUUUUGUGUCAAUGCUGGGGAAACCCUGGAAGCUUCUGGUGGCUUCUCUCCACCCUAGGAUGAAUGGGGAGAAAAGGAAGUCCCUCUAGGGAGAUAUCUUCCUGGAGCCCUCAGCCUGUAACUCAAACACUCCAGACUCCAUUUCUUGCCUCUUGUUAACUUGGAGCUCCCUGAGGCUUCUCUCCCAACCCCCUAAGGAAGAACAGUGGGUUUAAGUUCCACGGGGCCCUAUUGCUGUUAGCAUGUGGCCUUGGGAAAGUGAGCCAGCCUUGCUAAGCUGAAGCUCUGGGUAGCUAUAAAAAUGGAGGUAAUUACAGCACCUGCCCAUGGGAUGUUUGUGAGGACUUAAUGCAGAGCGCUUAGCAUUGUGCAGCACAUAGUAAAUGCUCAGUAAAAGGGGGGGGGGUAUUAGCACCCCCCCAGGAGAACAGGAAGGAGCCCGAACUUGUCUCUUGGGAGGGAGCUGGGUAUCAGACUCCCAGGAGACAGCCUGGGAGAACUGUCCACUGGUUUCUAUUUGGCUAACACUUGAACCAGAACAUGCACCUGAACUGGAGAGCUUCGCUCUCAGGGUACCAAGCAGAGUUUGGCUCCUGGCCGUUUUAGAUAUUUCUUGUUGCAUGAAGCUAAAUUCCAUGAUUGGUUAAAAAAAAAAAGUAUGAGGGAGAGUUUCGUGCGAGGCAGUCAGAGUUUAAGAGACUAAGAGACAUGGCUGGGACCGACAGGCUGCUGUAGGAGGUAACUGGGGGGCCAUUCUGUAGCUCUGGUCCCUCAGAGAUAAAAACAAGGAGUCCAUCAGUUCCCGGGCUAGAAGUUACACAGCCCGGGCCUGCCCUCUACUCUAAUACAAUAGAUUGCCUAUUGGAGCUCCAAACCUUCUUCACUUUUGUGUCCUUGUAGCAACAAUAAAUAUACAAAGUAAAACAUUUCAGCUAACUAGA